rnacentral:tRNA from 1 species
UCCAAUCAGCUAGCUCUAGAAUAACCWAGAAGAAAGUA